rnacentral:rRNA from 1 species
UACGUAGGGUGCAAGCGUUGUCCGGAAUUAUUGGGCGUAAAGGGCUCGUAGGCGGAUCGUUAAGUCGGGGGUGAAAUCCUGGAGCUCAACUCCAGAACUGCCUUUGAUACUGGCGAUCUUGAGUCCGGGAGAGGUGAGUGGAACUCCGAGUGUAGAGGUGAAAUUCGUAGAUAUUCGGAAGAACACCAGUGGCGAAGGCGGCUCACUGGCCCGGUACUGACGCUGAGGUGCGAAAGCGUGGGGAGCAAACAGG